rnacentral:misc_RNA from 2 species
AACGCACAUUGCGCCCGCCAGUAUUCUGGCGGGCAUGCCUGUUCGAGCGUCAUUUCAACCCUCAAGCCCCCCCGGGGGCAUGGUGUUGGGGGACGGCCCCGCCUCGCGCGGUCCGGCCGCCCCCGAAAUGCAGUGGCGACCCCGCCGCAGCCUCCCCUGCGUAGUAGCUAUACAACUGGAAACCUCGCACCGGAGAGCGGCGCUGCUCAGCCGUGAAACCCCAACUUCUGAAAGGUUGACCUCGGAUCAGGUAGGAAUACCCGCUGAACUUAA